GAUGAACGCUAGCGACAGGCUUAACACAUGCAAGUCGAGGGGCAGCAUAAAAGUAGCAAUACUUUGGUGGCGACCGGCGCACGGGUGAGUAACGCGUAUGCAACCUACCUAUCAGAGGGGAAUAACCCGGCGAAAGUCGGACUAAUACCGCAUAAAACAGGGGCACCGCAUGGUGAUAUUUGUUAAAGAAAUUCGCUGAUAGAUGGGCAUGCGUUCCAUUAGGUAGUUGGUGAGGUAACGGCUCACCAAGCCGACGAUGGAUAGGGGAACUGAGAGGUUGGUCCCCCACACUCGUACUGAGACACGGACCAGACUCCUACGGGAGGCAGCAGUGAGGAAUAUUGGUCAAUGGGCGAGAGCCUGAACCAGCCAAGUCGCGUGAAGGAAGAAGGAUCUAUGGUUCGUAAACUUCUUUUGCAGGGGAAUAAAGUGCAGGACGUGUCCUGUUUUGUAUGUACCCUGAGAAUAAGGAUCGGCUAACUCCGUGCCAGCAGCCGCGGUAAUAC
rnacentral:rRNA from 1 species